rnacentral:tRNA from 1 species
UCCCUGGGGGUCCAGCGGCUAAGACUCCAUACUCCCAAUGCAGGGGGCCCAGGUUCAAUUCCUGGUCAGGGAA